CCGCCCCACGACGGUCCCGGCGCACUAGGAGCCCUCGGUGUCGGUGUUGUCGCUGCCGGUGGUGUUCCCACGGUCCCCCUCGCCCUGCCGCCAGCCGUUCUGCAUCUUCCUGAGUGCCCGCUUCCUGAGGGACGCCGCAGCAUGACUCCCAGCUUCUAAAGCAAGUUCCCAGCAGGACUUCUAGCACCUCUCGGAGUCAGUGGAGCUGCGUGGGACCAGCCAGCGCAGGCCUCUCCUUUCCCUUGGACACAGAUGGCAUUUGGGGAUUGUAAAGUAAUGAAGGCACAUGAUGGAAAGUGGACAAGCGUGAAGAAGAUAAAACUCGCAGGGCACAGUGGCCAUGCCUGUGAUCCCAGCAACUCAGGGGGCUGAGGUAGGAGGACCACAAGUUUGAAGUCAACCUCAACAAUUUAGUGAGACUAUCUCAAAAACAAACAACCACCACCAAUAACAAAAACCCACAACGGGCUGGGGAUGUAGCUAAUGAUAAAGAACCCCAGGUUCAAUCUCCAGUAUUGUGGGAGGAAAAAGGUUAGAAAUCUCCAUAUUCUCAACCUCAGGGCAGACCUUGUGGCCCUGUGUCAACUCUUGAGUCCCUCAAUUCCCAGAGGAUACCCAGCACAUCUUUGUUCCCUAUCCAUGUUCUUGUGAUUGGUAAGGACUGGAUGCAGUUGGUCAUCCAGAGCAUGACCACCAGUGGCUACAUAAGAUUCUUAAAAAUGAAUGUCGUGCUCUUCUGUUUAUCUUAUUUUUGGUACUGUGGAUUGAACCUGGAAGUGCUGUACACUGAGUCACAUCCCAGCACUUUUUAUUUUAUUUUAUUUAUUUUGAGACAGGGUCUCGCUAAAGCCUCAGACUUACGAUCCUCCUGCCUCAGCCUCAGACUCACUGGGAUUACACGUGUGGCCACUGUGUCCAGCUUCUGUCAUGCUCCUUUAUGCCUGUAUCCUACCCAGGGUCCCUGAGGUGUGAGACCAAUGUGCUAGCAGAGGAGGGCACACUACAGUGGGGCAGAACUCUGACCCCAACUGCAGCCAGCAGUCCAGGAGACCAUCAGAAGCCCACAGGCCAGUGGGCCCCACCCUGGCCAGGACUUGACUGGUGACUCCCAGCAGUCUGGGUUCAGGACUCCUGAUACAUGUCAUGAGUCCCCCUCCAGCACUGGCAGGAGCACCAGCUGUCAACUGGAAAAGCCUCCAGGAAGCUGCUUGGGAGACAGGGUGCAGAUGCAGCCCUGUGGUGGGAUGCUCCGCCGGGUCCACAAGAGUUCCCCAGACAGGCACGCACAGUUCUUUUAAGUUAAAAAAAAAGCUACUUGCAGCUGAGCACUGUGGGGCACACCUGUAAUCCAGCUACUCAGGAAGCUGAGGCAGGAGGACCACUAGUUUGAAGCCAACCUGGGCAAC